AGUGAACGCUGGCGGUAGGCCUAACACAUGCAAGUCGAACGGCAGCACAGUAAGAGCUUGCUCUUACGGGUGGCGAGUGGCGGACGGGUGAGGAAUACAUCGGAAUCUACUUUUUCGUGGGGGAUAACGAAGGGAAACUUACGCUAAUACCGCAUACGACCUACGGGUGAAAGCAGGGGAUCUUCGGACCUUGCGCGAUUGAAUGAGCCGAUGUCGGAUUAGCUAGUUGGCGGGGUAAAGGCCCACCAAGGCGACGAUCCGUUGCUGGUCUGAGAGGAGGAACAGCCACACUGGAACUGAGACACGGUCCAGACUCCUACGGGAGGCAGCAGUGGGGAAUAUUGGACAAUGGGCGCAAGCCUGAUCCAGCCAUACCGCGUGGGUGAAGAAGGCCUUCGGGUUGUAAAGCCCUUUUGUUGGGAAAGAAAAGCAGCAGGUUAAUACCCCGCUGUUCUGACGGUACCCAAAUAAUAAGCACCGGCUAACUUCGUG
rnacentral:rRNA from 1 species